rnacentral:rRNA from 1 species
AGGAUUGGCAUGGGGGGAACCCUGACCGCCUGCCGCGUGUGUGAAGAAGGCCUUUUGGUUGUAAAGCACUUUAAGCGAGGAGGAGGCUACUCUAGUUAAUACCUAGAGAUAGUGGACGUUACUCGCAGAAUAAGCACCGGCUAACUCUGUGCCAGCAGCCGCGGUAAUACAGAGGGUGCGAGCGUUAAUCGGAUUUACUGGGCGUAAAGCGUGCGUAGGUGGCCAAUUAAGUCAAAUGUGAAAUCCCCGAGCUUAACUUGGGAAUUGCAUUCGAUACUGGUUGGCUAGAGUAUGGGAGAGGAUGGUAGAAUUCCAGGUGUAGCGGUGAAAUGCGUAGAGAUCUGGAGGAAUACCGAUGGCGAAGGCAGCCAUCUGGCCUAAUACUGACACUGAGGUACGAAAGCAUGGG